AUUGAACGCUGGCGGCAGGCCUAACACAUGCAAGUCGAGCGAGCGGCGGACGGGUGAGUAAUGUAUGGGGACUGCCCGAUGGAGGGGGAUAACUACUGGAAACGGUGGCUAAUACCGCAUACUAUCGGAUAACCCAUAGGGGAUUAGCUAGUAGGUGGGGUAAAGGCUCACCUAGGCGACGAUCCCUAGCUGGUCUGAGAGGAUGACCCGCCACAUGGGAACUGAGACACGGUCCAGACUCCUACGGAGGCAGCAGUGGGGAAUAUUGCACUAGGGGCGCAAGCCUGAUGCAGCCAUUCCGCGUGUAUGAAGAAGGCCCUAGGGUUGUAAAGUACUUUCAGUCGGGAGGCGGUACCGACAGAAGAAGCACCGGCUAACUCCGUGCCAGCAGCCGCGGUAAUAC
rnacentral:rRNA from 1 species